rnacentral:lncRNA from 1 species
GACUCCAGGGAGUUACAGACAGAAAGACAGAGAAGUCAUUUUGGACCCUGAGAGCCGAGUCGACUCCUGAGGAACGCGAGUCGACUCCGAUGGUUGGCAGGUCGACUCCAAAGGAAGCGAGAGUCGACUCUCAGUGUUAUACAAGGCAAAAGUCAGAGAGCAACUUUCGGGCACUGAGAGCCGAGUCGACUCCCGCAAAG